rnacentral:rRNA from 1 species
GAUGAACGCUAGCGGCAGGCUUAAUACAUGCAAGUCGAGGGGGCAGCAAUGUCACCGGCGAACGGGUGCGUAACACGUAUGCAACCUACCUAUAUCAGGGGGAUAGCCCGAGGAAACUCGGAUUAAUACCGCAUAACAUUAGGACCGGCAUCGAUUUUAAAUGAAAGAUUUAUUGGAUAUAGAUGGGCAUGCGUAGGCUUAGCUAGUUGGUAAGGUAACGGCGUACCAAGGCUACGAUCUUUAGGGGCUCUGAGGGGAGUAUCCCCCACACGGGCACGGAGAUACGGGCCAGACUCCUACGGGAGGCAGCAGUAGGGAAAAUUGGGCAAUGGGCGAAAGCCUGACCCAGCCAUGCCGCGUGCAGGAAGACGGCACUCUGGGUUGUAAACUGCUUUUGAAUGGGAAGAAAGGUAUGCUUGCGAGCGUAAUUGACGGUACCAUUAGAAUAAGCCACGGCUAACUACGUGCCAGCCGCCGCGGUAA